rnacentral:lncRNA from 1 species
CCCAUUGUCCCCUUUGUCCCUAUUGUCCCCAUUGUCCUGUUGUCCUCUUUGUCCCCACAUUGUCCCCAUUGUCCUGUUGUCCCCAUUGUCCCCAUUGUCCCCAUUGUCCCCAUUGUCCCCGUUGUCCCCACAUUGUCCCCUUUGUCCUCCCAUUCUCCCCACAUUGUCCCCACUGUCCUCCCAUUGUCCCCUUUGUCCCCAUGGUCCUCAUUGUCCCCUUUGUCCCCAUGGUCCCCUUUGUCCCACUGUCCCCUCAUUCCCCACUGUCCCCACAUUGUCCCUUUUGUCCCCGUGCUCCCCAUUGUCACCUUUGUCCCCACAUUGUCCUCACAUUGUCCCCAUUGUCCCCUUUGUCCUCUUUGUCCUCAUAUUGUCCCCUUUGUCCUACCAUUCUCCCCACAUGUCCCCAUUGUUGCCGUUGUUCCCCCAUUGUCCCCACAUUGUCCUCAUUGUCCCCUUUGUCCGUGUUGUCCCCACAUUGUCCCCACAUUUUCCCCGUUGUCCCCAUUGUCCCCUUUGUCCCUAUUGUCCCCAUUGUCCCCACAUUGUCCCCAUUGUCCCAAUUAUCUGCAUUGUCCCCUUUAUCCUCUUUGUCCCCUUUGUCCCCAUUGUCCCCACAUUGUCCCCACAUUGUCCCCAUUGUCACCACAUUGUCCCCACAUUGUCCCCUUUGUCCCCAUUGUCCCCAUUGUCCCAAUUGUCCCCAUUGUCCCCUUUGUCCCCACAUUAUCCUCUUUUUCCCAGUUGUCCCCACAUUGUCCCCAUUGUCCCCAUUGUCCCCAUUGUCCUCAUUGUCCCAUUUUCCCAUUGUCCCCAUUGUCCCCUUUAUCCCCUUUUCACCACAUUGUCCCCACAUUAUCCCCACAUUGUCCCCAUUUUCCCCACAUUUUCCCCAUUGUCCCCUUUGUCCCCACAUUGUCCCCACAUUGUCCCCAUUGUCCCCAUUGUCCCCAUUGUCCCCACAUUGUCCCCAUUGUCCCCACAUUAUCCCCACAUAAUAUCCACAUUGUCCCCCACUUUGUCCCCUUUGUCCCCUUUGUCUCCACAUUGUCCCCAUUGUCCUCUUUGUCCCUAUUGUCCCCAUUUUCCCCAUUGUCCCAUUUUCCCCAUUUUCCCCAUUGUCCCCUUUGUCCCCAUUGUCCCCUUUGUCCCCAUUGUCUCCUUUGUCCCCAUUGUCCCCACAUUNGAGACGCGCAUCCUCAAGGUUUGCUUCUACAGCAACAGCUGCAACCUGGGCAAGAACUUCAAGCUGGUCAAGUGCUCCGUGGGCACCGAGGUUCGGGUAGGCGGGAAUGCUCGGGGGA